UACGGAGGGGGCAAGCGUUAUCCGGAAUCACUGGGUUUAAAGGGUGCGUAGGCGGCUUGAUAAGUCAGGGGUGAAAGCCCGCAGCUUAACUGCGGAACUGCCUUUGAUACUGUCGAGCUUGAAAGAGGUUGAGGUCAGCGGAACGUGACAUGUAGCGGUGAAAUGCAUAGAUAUGUCACAGAACACUGAUUGCGAAGGCAGCUGGCUGGACCUACUUUGACGCUGGGGUACGAAAGCGUGGGGAGCGUACAGG
rnacentral:rRNA from 1 species